rfam:Anaeromyxobacter sp. Fw109-5, complete genome.
GGAGCCGCUCGGGCGAACGCGUCGGUCUGCAGGAACGGGGGCCGCCGAGGAAAGUCCGAGCACCACAGGGCAGGGUGCCGGUUAACGACCGGUCGGGGCGACCCGCAGGACAGUGCCACAGAGAACAGACCGCCGAACGGCGUCCUGAGCUUGUCGAAGGACGCGCGUGGCAAGGGUGAAACGGUGCGGUAAGAGCGCACCGCGCGCCGGGUGACCGGCGCGGCACGGAAAACCCCACCCGGUGCAAGGGCAAAUAGGGAGGCGACCGGCCCGGUCAUUGCCUCCGGGUAUGGCCCGCUCGAGACGCGCGGCAACGCGCGUCCUAGAGGAAUGUUCGCCGCCGCGGGGAAACCCGCGGGACAGAACUCGGCUUACAGAGCGGCUCCGGCA